UCAGUUAUGUGAGUGCUGUCCAUGUCCAUGUUCUGGGAGUGAAGGUGUCCAUCCUGAAAGGAGGAGCUGUGC